rnacentral:rRNA from 1 species
AUUGAACGCUGGCGGCAGGCCUAACACAUGCAAGUCGAGCGAGCGGCGGACGGGUGAGUAAUGUAUGGGGACUGCCCGAUAGAGGGGGAUAACUACUGGAAACGGUGGCUAAUACCGCAUACUAUCGGAUAACCCAUAUGGGUUUAGCUUGUAGGUGGGGUAACGGCGCACCAAGGCGGCGAUCCCUAGCUGGUCUGAGAGGAUGAUCAGCCAAACUGGGACUGAGACAAGGCCCAAACUCCUACGGAGGGAGCAGUGGGGAAUAUUGCAGAAUGGGCGCAAGCCUGAUGCAACCAUGCCGCGGGUAUGAAGAAGGCCUUCGGGUUGUAAAGUACUUUCAGUCGGGAGGCGUUACCGACAGAAGAAGCACCGGCUAACUCCGUGCCAGCAGCCGCGGUAAUAC